CUGAUAUCUGCAUAACCGUCUUCAAGAUCACGAAUGGCCACACUCGACGAAGCCAUAAUCUCCAACCUGCCGUAGAACACAACACACAAAUCACACACACACAACUCACUUUCUCACCAUGUCAAAAGACAAGACCAAUUUUUACUUAAAUAUUUUGUUCCUUUAAACAAAUAAUAAAUGGGGUUUCAAUUGAAAAAGUGAAAUAUAAAUAUUUUAUUUAUUUAGUAUGAUAGACCCACAAUUAUAUUUAUUUUCUUUUUUAAUGAAUAUACAAUAUAAAAUAAGUACAUGACUACAGUACACUUUUCUUAAGGAGUACUGUUUUAGUAGACUCUCUAUCUGUUUCGGCAUACAGAAGAGCUUUUUAAUCUAAUUUUCUUUUAUGAUCAUGUAUGUUAUAGUUAUUUAGGAUCACUUGUAAUUUUUCAAAAAGUUUCAAGUAGCUUACAAUGUCGAAAAUAAAAUUUACAUGCGCGACUAUUUUUUCUUAUACGCGUGGUAAGUAACUAUUUAAACCUUAUUUUUGACACAAUAAAUUAUUCAGAAUCUUCUAAAAAAUUUACAAAUGGUCCUAUAUAGCUACAACAUAUGUAAUUAUGAAAAAAAAUUGAACUAAAAUAUUUUUCUAGUUACCGAAGCAGAUAAAAAAUCUACCAGAACGGUCUUCUACAAAAAUUUCAUAUAAUAUUUACUACAAAAAUUAAUUAACAUUAAUAUUAACUCACAUUUUGUUAAGAAAAAUAGAAACCUUAUUUUUAGUAUUUAUUUUAAAAUACUAUAUAUAUUGUAAGAAAUAAAGCAAUACCCAGAUUGCCCCCUACUCCAACACCACAAAGUACAAAAAACCAAGGUCAAAAUAGACCUUCCCCCUCUUGUGCGGAUCAAGAGUAUAUUCCCUCAAAAUCCUAGCCUUUUAAUGGCAGUAUAAAGCCUUUCUUUUCAGCCACAAACCCUAGCAGCCCUUGUCUUUCUCUUCUCCUCUCUAACCUUAGCAGCCACUUCCUAGCAGCAGCCCUCUUCUCUUCAUCUGAACCUAGCAUCAGCCCUCUUCUCUUCUUCUCCUUCCUUCUUGGUGCAAAACUUUGCAGCAGAACAAUACUCAACCACUGCUGCAUUUUUCUUCCUCCUUCAGCCCUUCUAAUCUUCUUCUUCAAGCUCUAUGAGAGCUUUCUAACCCGAGCCUACAGCAGCUCCUUCGCACCUGCAACACACACAACAAACAACCCAAAACCAGAGAAAGACUAAAAGAAAAACCAGCAAAAAAAUAAAAAGAAGACAAUAAUUGAUUUCGGAGUUCCCCUCAAAAUCAAGGGUACAUCUCCGUCAAGCUUCCCUCAAAGACGCUUGAUUCUUCACUAUCCAUGUCAAAACCGAUUACAAGGAGUUGGAGAUUCCUAGCCACAAAGUUCAGUAGGUAAUCUCAAGUUUUCUCUCUUUUCUUCACUCUAUUUUUUUUGGUUUGUAUUAAAAUAGAACUCUCUAACUCUCUCUAUUUUUCUCUCUUAUUUCUGAGGUUGUUCAUCCAAGAAAUGGCAGCUGCUAUUUUCUCAUUUUGCUGAGCCGAAAAACACACUUCAAAAAUGGGCAGUGUCUUUGUUGCUGAGCGGAAGAGAGGGCAAAGAUAAUGUGGCGGACCCAGGAUUUAAGUUGAGCGGGGGCAGACUUUUUUUUUAAGUGAGGGACGGUUUACCAUUUUUUCUACAUGAUAUAACAUAUUAAAAAUUGAUACAAAUUUGUAUUUUUAUAGUAUUAAAUAUAGUUUAAGUAAAAAAAAAUGAAAAUAAAAAAGUUGACUUCAAUGAUUGAAAUACUAAAUACAAAGUUUAUUGAUAGAGAUUAAAAAAAAAAUACUAAAAAUUAAAUAGUAAAAAUUACCCAAAUUAUGGGAUUUUUUUUACCAUUUACUUUUUUUAUGGCAUUUUUAAAUAAACCUUUGUGUAUAUGGGAUUUAGGUUUUGUUUACCCUUUUAUGGGUUUUUUAAAAGCCAUAUAUUUGUUAUUCAAGGCCCAAUUCCCAUAUUUUUUUUUUUUUGAAACUAUAGCUAUUAUAGCUUCCUUUUGCAUGGAGUAGCUUACUACUCAUUGCAUACUACUACCGCCAUUUCAGUUUCUACAUCAUACUCAUUUGUUUUUCAAGCUUUUUUCUCUCUCAUUCUCAUUUCUCCAUUCAGUUUGAGCAGCAUUUUAGGGUUUGCAUUUUCUUCAUCUUCUUCUUUUUCUUCUUCUCCAGUGGGUGUCGAAGCCAUUGUCGUUGGUGUGCUCUGUUUUUAGCUUCGAUUUUCAGUUGUCGUGAGUGAAGUGUGCUCUGUUUUUAGUCAUUUUCGAGAUCAUCUUCAAAGUUAAGUGAGGUAUGUGAUAAAUUCUUUAAUAAAUUUUGUUGUAAUAUGUUUAGUUUUAGUGAUUAAGUUCGGUAUUGAGAUGUUUGUGGAUUUUAUUUUUUUUUUUCUUGAUGAUUUUGCAUGAUCGGUUGGAUUUUUUCGGGUUUAUUGUUGUUUUUGGGAUGAUCGGUUGGGUUUUUAGGGUGUGUUUGGUGUUUUGGUGUUUUUUAUCAUUGUUCUAUUUAGUUAAUUUUUGUUUUAAGUUUGAGUUUGUGUUGAUUUUGUUGAUUUCUCUGUUAAUUUUUCUUAAAUCUUCAUGAAUUUCUAAGGUUUUUUUAUGUUUGUUUUUGUGUUGAAUCUGUUUUAGAGAUAGAGUAUUUGUUGUUAUUUUUUGUGUUCGUUUUGGAUUUUUUCAUUUUCAUGCAUUUUAGUAUUGGAGGUUGCUUAUAAAAUAUAACCGGUUAUUUUUUGUGCAACAUAUUUGAAUUUUUAGGUUAAUAGUGUUAUUUGUUUUUAAUUUUUAUGUUUUUUUUUUUUUGUAUUUUGAAUUUUUGUUUUCUUAUUUUUUGUUCUGUUUUUUUAAAUUGAUUUUUUAAUAGUUUUUUUCAUUGGUUAGAGUAUUUUAGUGGGUGUGGUAACUGUUUUACCACUUUUUUAGCCACGAUGUGGCAGUUUUGUUUUUUUUUUUUUUUUUUUUGUGUGUGUUUUAUGUGGGUUGGCAGUUACAAUUUAUUUGUUAUAUAUAUUUGGUGUUGGUUUUGUAAUGUGCACUUAUUAACUUAUUUUGUUUUCUCUGUAUUCUUUGUUUGGUUUUAGGAUUUAUUCAAUGGAUAAGAGUCAUUAUUAAGAAAAGAAAAAGGGGUGAUGUAACUAAGGUAUGUUUUUAAAUUUUCAUGUGUUUAUUUUGUUUGUUCUUGUCUGUAUUUUUUAUUGUGUUUUAAUGUUUUUAUGUUAUUUAUUAUAUGUUACUCAAUGUUUUCAAGAUAUUAUUCCAUAUGUUGAUCAUGGAGUUCAACAAAAAGAUUCUCAUCAAUCGGAAGCUAUUUCCGAACAUGUGAAGGACCAGGUAUAUAACUGAUUUCUUUUGUUUGUUCUGUUUUUUAUUCUUUUUGUUUUUAUUCUUGUUGUUUUUAUAACUGGUUUAUAACCGGUUUUAAUAUUGUAUUUUUCAUUUUGUUAACAGGUUGAGCCUGGUAAUGUGGCGUUUGUUGGCGCUGCAUCUGGAACUGGCUCUGAAGUUCCGGUUGAUGCCCCAAAGAAACACGAGGUUAAGAAAUCUCGAGCCAAGAAGAAGAAGGUGAGUUUCUCAAGUGGUUAUGUUAUUGUUGGUGUAUUUUAACUGGUUUUUUUUAGUAUAGAAUUGUGUUUGUAAUUGUUUAAUUUUAUGUAAUUUAGUUUUUAUACUUUUUAUAACUGGUUUUUUUUCUAUGAAAAAUGUGUUUAUAAAUGUUUAAUUGAUGUUAUUUAGUUCUUAUAUUAUUUAUAACGGGGUUUUUUUUUUUUUGUUUAAGAAAUGGGUUUUCAAAUGUUGAUUUUAUGUAAUUGAGUUUUUAUACCCUUUUUUAACCGGUUUCUUUUGUUUGUUUUUCAACAUUUGUUGUGUUUCAUUUGUUGUUUUAUUAUUAUAACCGGUUUCUAAAUUUCUUUAUGAGUUUUUUAAAAUGUUGUUUUUUUAUGUUUUUUUAACCGGUUUCUGUUUUGUGUUUCAAGGUUAACGUUGAUCCUUCUGACCAAGAUUUUGUCGUACAUGUUGAAUCUGGAACUAGUUCUAAAGUUCCAGUUGAAAAAGAGGCUCAGCCCUCUAUCAGGGAAACACGUGGCCGGAAAAAAAAAUGUCUUUAUAUGUUUACAUUAUUGUUUUUUGUUAAUGUUUGUGAAUGUUGUUUUUCUUUUCUUUUUUUAACUUUUUUUUUCCUGUUUUUUUUCAGGCUGCAGCGGGUGAUUCUGAUCUUCCCAAUCCUCCGGUACGUCGUACAAGACGUUAUGGUGUUAAAUCUGUUGCAUCGAAAGGCCCUAGUCCUUCGAUAGCUGAAGAGCCCGUGAUAAAAUCCACUAGUUUUUCAGAUGUGGUUAGUGCUUUAAGUUUUUCAUUUUACAUAUAUGUUCAGUUUUUAUUUUUAAUGUGAUUUAAUUUUUGUUUAUGGAACCAGUUAUUUUUAUUUAUGAUGUGCUUUGUUGUUGUUGUUACAGGCUAAAUCUUAUUUUAUAACUGGUUUUUUUUUCAGGAUGUUUACUUAAAGAUGAAACCGGAGCAUCGGUGUAGAACUUGAGAGAAUUGUCACUCAGUAGCUUCAUUGGUGUUGUCCCGGGCGAUAUCUGGUACGAUAUGUCUAUGUUGCUUCUGGUGCAGUUGAUCUCUGUUUUUAUCAGCUCCAUCAAGUUUGCUAGUGAUGAAUUGGUUGGAAUUAGAAUCCCCGUCAUUGUGUAGUCAUCAUAAUUUGUAUUUUUCCCUCCACUGACUCCCAUAUUUGAUGACACACAUGAUUUGUUCCAUACCUGCAAUUUUAGGGAAAAAGUAAUAUCAAAAUAUUAUUGUAAUGUUUUGUUUGGAACCGGUUAUUUUUUAAAAAACUAUAUGUGUUAUUGUUUUUGUUUUAGGUUUUUAACUGGUUUUUUUUUUUCUAAUUUUUGUUUACUGGGUUUUGGUUUUUAUUUGUCAUUUAUAUUUUUGAUAACUAUUUUGCAUUUUGAAAGGAAAUUCUUUUUAAAAUUUAAGUUUAAUUUUUUUUUUAACUGGUUUUUUUUUUCUUUUAAUUUUCUAAUUGUAUGUUUUGCUAUAUUUUUUAAUAUUUUUCAAGUUUUUUAUUGUUUUUUAACUGGUUUUUUUUUUGUUAUGUUUUGUUAUUUGUAAUUUUCUUUAUUUUUUAACCGGUUAUUUUUAAAUUGUAUUUAGAGAAUCAAUGAUAUAGGUGAGUUUUUUAACUGGUUUUUAAGUUUUAACUGGUUUUUUUUUAUGUUAUAUUUAUUGUUGUAUCUGUUUUAAUUUUGUUUUUUUGUAGCAUUGUUAAAUGUAAUGUAAUGUAACUGGUUUCAUUUAAUUUUUAUGUUUUAUUGUGUAAGUUAGUUUUUUAACUGGUUUUUUUUGUUUGUUUUCUGGUUUUAGGUGUUGUUGUUUUGUUUGUUUUGGUUAAAAUUAUUUUUUUUAACUGGUUUUCUUUCUAUUUUUUUUAUUGUAUGUGUUGUUAUAUAUUUUUAACUAGUUUUCACGUUUUUGAUUGUUUUUUUAACCAGUUUUUUUCUGUUAUGUUUUGUUAUUUGUGACUUUCUUUAACUCUUUUAUGCAAAAGUAAUAUUAUAUUGUUAUAUUUUUGUAUUUGGAACCGGUUAUUUUUUAAUUGUUUUUAAAGAAUCAAUGUUAUAGGUGAGUUUUUUAACCGGUUUUUAUGUUUUAACUGGUUUUUUUUUAUGUUAUAUAUUGUUGUAUCUGUUUUAAUUUUAUUUUCCUCUAGCAUUGUUAAUUCUAUUUUAAUGUAAUGUAAGUGGCUUCAUUUAAUUUUUAUGUUUUAUUGUGUAUGUUAGGUUUUUAACCGAUUUUUUUUGUUUGUUUUUUUGGUUUUAGGUGUUGUUGUUUUGUUUCUAUUGGUUAAACAUUAUUUUUUUUAACCGGUUUUUUUUUUUUUUGCUGUUAUGUUUUGUUAAAUGUGACUGUCAUUAUUUUUUUUACUGUUUUUAACUGGUUAUUUUGGUUAUGGUAUAUAUUUGUUUUGCGUGUUAUGUAUGCGUUUCAUAUGGUUGAUCUUGAUUUUGUACAUUGUUUUAACCGGUUAUUUAUUUUUUAUAUUUGUUCAUUAAAAUGUCGUUUAAUGUUUAUAUAUUAUUAAUCCGUAUAUACUUGUAAUGUCUUUGUAUAAUUUGUUUUAUUUUUUUUUUCAGUUUUUCGUUUUCAAUUUUAAUUACCAUUGAUUUUUCAGAUUAUGAAGGUUAAGAAUUCGAUCAGAAGCAAUUGAAGAAAUUACCUGAAGAGGAUCGGAGCUGUAGAAGACGAUCGGAGGUCGAUGAUCGUUGCUGAAGCUCUGUCUUCAGACGAUCGACUUUCUGUGCAUGUUGAUUGCGUUUGAGAUGAGUAGAAUGUGUUGAAGAACUGUCCGCAGCUGGAGAAGACGAUCGGAGGCGGCGAUCGUUGCUGGUUUUGGAGACACAAUCGUUGCUGGUUUUGCGUUUGAGUUCGGUUUUGCAGAUCGAAUUGCAGUGAUCAAUUGAGUUCGGUUUGCAGUCGUCUGAUCGUGACUGGUGCGAUUCCGAACGUGAUGAUCGGAGACAAAAUCGGAGAGAGUAGGGAGAGAGAGAGAGAGAGAUCGAAUCGUGGUUGGGUUUUGAGCAAUUCUGUUAUGUUUUUCAGUUUUGGAAAGUAUGGGAUUUUCCAUUUUGAGCAUAUUUAUAUGUUUUUUGGAUUCCCAUAUUUUUCCAUUUGAUUAUUUUUCUUUUUUUUUUUUUUUUUUUGCCAUAUCUUUUUCAUUUAUUUUUUUCUCCAUAAAAAAGUAAAUGGCAACAAAAACUUCCAUAUUUAUAUUUUUUUUCCCUUAAAAGAACUAUUACUUCAAAAUCAACUAAACAGAAAUGACCUUAGGAUUUGUAAUUUGUUUGCCAUACCAUUAAAAUUUAUCCAUCUUU